CCUACGGGAGGCAGCAGUGGGGAAUAUUGCACAAUGGGGGAAACCCUGAUGCAGCGACGCCGCGUGAGUGAAGAAGUAUUUCGGGAUGUAAAGCUCUAUCAGCAGGGAAGAAAAAAGACGGUACCUGACUAAGAAGCCCCGGCUAACUACGUGCCAGCAGCCGCGGUAAUACGUAGGGGGCAAGCGUUAUCCGGAUUUACUGGGUGUAAAGGGAGCGUAGACGGUGCGUCAAGUCUGAAGUGAAAGCCCGGGGCUUAACCCCGGGACUGCUUUGGAAACUGGCGCGCUAGAGUCCUGGAGAGGGAAGUAGAAUUCCAAGUGUAGCGGUGAAAUGCGUAGAUAUUAGGAGGAACACCAGUGGCGAAGGCGGCUUACUGGACAGUAACUGACGUUGAGGCUCGAAAGCGUGGGGAGCAAACAGGAUUAGAUACCCUUGUAGUC
rnacentral:rRNA from 1 species